rnacentral:rRNA from 1 species
UACGUAGGGUGCAGGCGUUAAUCGGAAUUACUGGGCGUAAAGCGUGCGCAGGCGGUCUUUUAAGUCAGAUGUGAAAUCCCCGGGCUUAACCUGGGAACUGCGUUUGAAACUGGAAGGCUAGAGUGUGGCAGAGGGGGGUGGAAUUCCGACGUGUAGCAGGUGAAAUGCGUAGAUAUGUGGAGGAACACCGAUGGCGAAGGCAGCCCCCUGGGCUAACACUGACGCUCAUGCACGAAAGCGUGGGGAGCAAACAGG